CUGGUGCUGGAUCUAUGAUGAUCGUAAAUGUUGAGCUUUAUAAAGUUUAUUUUGACACGAGAAAAAAGAACAUGGCAUUAUCUCAAAAUCUGAGAUAAUCUAUGUUUUUAAAGAAUAGAAGCCUUCACAGGAUCUGACGUUUUUUUCCCAAUGAAGGAAAAGGAAAAGGAUGUCUUCAUUAAAUGAACAAGACAAAAACAUCAUCUACUCUCAUCAUCACUGUCAUCAACGAACACUAUAACACCGUGAAUGGCUUCCUAAUUGCAUGGAGGAGAGCUGAGGACACGCAGUAGCAGUGCUUCCAGACAGUAAAGAAAGGAAAGCGUUUGUAAACUUGACAGGCUGCUGCAUCUCUGUUCUCUGAAGAAGUCUUCAAUCCUGCAACUCAUAUUGUGGUUUCCUUUCCUUUUGCUGCAUCCCCUAGGACCUGCGUAUACUGUCUACCAUGAUAUGAGCAGAAGAAGAAACACAACAAAUAUAUAUUUUAUGUAUUGAACAAAAUAUUUCUUAUACGCAUAUACAGUUGCAGAUUUGCCAGGUAUUGAGAUCAUGAGCUACUUUUGUAGUUAGGCUCUGGGUUGUUUUGUUUUAUUUCUAAUCUCUUCCCAUCAGCCUACCAAACUCUAAAAAUAAAUGAUGGACUCUACAUCAUGCAGAGGUGGGAAGCAACUGAAAUCAUCUGAAAUCAUCACCAAAAUCCGACAUGAUGCACACAAUUAUCUCUCUGGGGGUCAACAAGCGAACCGGCGCGAUUGUGGCAAAAUAAAUAGUAGAAAUUUGUGUCUAUGCCUAAAUAGUCUUAACCCCCAAAACAUCUUAGCAUCAGUUUAUUGCAUACAUCAUUUUUUAUCAUCUGUCAUCUAAAAUUUCUAAAAAAAAAA